UACAGGGGGGGCAAGCGUUGUUCGGAAUUACUGGGCGUAAAGGGCUCGUAGGCGGCCAACUAAGUCCGACGUGAAAUCCCAAAGCUUAACUUUGGAACUGCGUCGGAUACUGGAUGGCUUGAAUUCGGGAGAGGGAUGCAGAAUUCCAGGUGUAGCGGUGAAAUGCGUAGAUAUCUGGAGGAAUACCGGUGGCGAAGGCGGCAUCCUGGACCGGCAUUGACGCUGAGGAGCGAAAGCCAGGGGAGCAAACGGG
rnacentral:rRNA from 1 species